rnacentral:rRNA from 1 species
GAUGAACGCUGGCGGCGUGCCUAAUACAUGCAAGUCGAGCGAACGGACGAGAAGCUUGCUUCUCUGAUGUUAGCGGCGGACGGGUGAGUAACACGUGGAUAACCUACCUAUAAGACUGGGAUAACUUCGGGAAACCGUAGCUAAUACCGGAUAAUAUUUUGAACCGCAUGGUUCAAAAGUGAAAGACGGUCUUGCUGUCACUUAUAGAUGGAUCCGCGCUGCAUUAGCUAGUUGGUAAGGUAACGGCUUACCAAGGCAACGAUGCAUAGCCGACCUGAGAGAGUGAUCGGCCACACUGGAACUGAGACACGGUCCAUACUCCUACGGGAGGCAGCAGUAGGGAAUCUUCCGCAAUGGGCGAAAGCCUGACGGAGCAACGCCGCGUGAGUGAUGAAGGUCUUCGGAUCGUAAAACUCUGUUAUUAGGGAAGAACAUAUGUGUAAGUAACUGUGCACAUCUUGACGGUACCGAAUCAGAAAGCCACGGCUAACUACGUG